rnacentral:lncRNA from 1 species
AUUAAGAUACACAAAUCCAAAGAUGAUAAUAUAUGUUGGCAAACAGGCAAGAACUUGUUAAUUUCUUGAACUGUUUUAGAGAGAGAAGCUCUCAAAGUUUUUAAUUAAUUAUAUAUCUUGAGCUCCUGUGUAUAUACUUACUACAACAACAAAAAAAAGCAAAAAAUCAGACAGACAACGACCAAAAUCUUUUAGUACCGGAGCCAAAGUCAAGGAAAUCAACU